GUAGUACUUCCUCCGUCCGAAAAUACUUGUUAUCAAAAUGGAUAAAAAAAUGUAUCUAGAACUAAAAUACGUCUAGAUACAUCCCCUUUUAUCCAUUUUGAUGACAAGUAUUUCCGGACGAAGGGAGUAGUAG
rnacentral:pre_miRNA from 1 species